AUUGAACGCUGGCGGCAUGCCUUACACAUGCAAGUCGAACGGCAGCACGGGAGCAAUCCUGGUGGCGAGUGGCGAACGGGUGAGUAAAGUAUCGGAACGUGCCCAGUCGUGGGGGAUAACGUAGCGAAAGUUACGCUAAUACCGCAUACGAUCUACGGAUGAAAGCGGGGGAUCGCAAGACCUCGCGCGAUUGGAGCGGCCGAUAUCAGAUUAGGUAGUUGGUGGGGUAAAGGCUCACCAAGCCGACGAUCUGUAGCUGGUCUGAGAGGACGAGCAGCCACACUGGGACUGAGACACGGCCCAGACUCCUACGGGAGGCAGCAGUGGGGAAUUUUGGACAAUGGGCGAAAGCCUGAUCCAGCCAUGCCGCGUGCAGGAUGAAGGCCUUCGGGUUGUAAACUGCUUUUGUACGGAACGAAAAGGUUUGGGCUAAUAAGCUGAGCUCAUGACGGUACCGUAAGAAUAAGCACCGGCUAACUACGUGCCAGCCGCCGCAGUAA
rnacentral:rRNA from 1 species